GAACCGUCCAAACGUUAUUCGGAACCAUUGGGCUUAAAGGGUGCGUAGGCGGUGCGGUAAGUUGGGUGUGAAAUCCCUCGGCUCAACCGAGGAACCGCGCUCAAAACUGUUGCACUAGAGGGAGACAGAGGUAAGCGGAACUGAUGGUGGAGCGGUGAAAUGCGUUGAUAUCAUCAGGAACACCAGUGGCGAAAGCGGCUUACUGGGUCUCUUCUGACGCUGAGGCACGAAAGCUAGGGUAGCGAACGGGGAUUAGAUACCCCGGUAGUCCUAGCUGUAAACGAUGAGCACUUGAUCGGAGACUCCUCCAUAGGUUUCCCGGUCGUAGCGAAAGUGUUAAGUGCUCCGCCUGGGGGAUAUGGUCGCAAGGCUG
rnacentral:rRNA from 1 species